rnacentral:rRNA from 1 species
UACGUAGGAGACAAGCGUUAUCCGGAGUUACUGGGCGUAAAGGGCGUGCAGGCGGUCGACUAAGUCUGGCGUGAAAGCUCUCGGCUAAACCGGGAGAGGUCGUUGGAUACUGGUUGACUAGAGGACGGUAGAGGCGUGUGGAAUUCCGGGUGUAGUGGUGAAAUGCGUAGAGAUUCGGAGGAACACCAGUGGCGAAGGCGACACGCUGGGCCGUACCUGACGCUGAUACGCGACAGCAUGGGGAGCGAACGGG